rnacentral:rRNA from 1 species
CGGGUGAGUAACACGUGGAUAACCUACCUAUAAGACUGGGAUAACUUCGGGAAACCGGAGCUAAUACCGGAUAAUAUUUUGAACCGCAUGGUUCAAAAGUGAAAGACGGUCUUGCUGUCACUUAUAGAUGGAUCCGCGCUGCAUUAGCUAGUUGGUAAGGUAACGGCUUACCAAGGCAACGAUGCAUAGCCGACCUGAGAGGGUGAUCGGCCACACUGGAACUGAGGCACGGUCCAG